rnacentral:rRNA from 1 species
CGCACGAGCGCACCCUUAUCCUUAGUUGCCAGCACGUAAUGGUGGGAACUCUAAGGAGACUGCCGGUGACAAACCGGAGGAAGGUGGGGACGACGUCAAGUCAUCAUGGCCCUUACGAGAUGGGCUACACACGUGCUACAAUGGCAAGUACAAAGGGUUGCAAACUCGCGAGAGUAAGCGGAUCCCAUAAAGCUUGUCGUAGUCCGGAUUGGAGUCUGCAACUCGACUCCAUGAAGUCGGAAUCGCUAGUAAUCGUGGAUCAGAAUGCCACGGUGAAUACGUUCCCGGGCCUUGUACACACCGCCCGUCACACCAUGGAGUGGGCUGCAAAAGAAGUGGAUAGCUUAACCUUCGGGAGGGCGUUCACCACUUUGUGGUUCAUGACUGGGGUGAAGUCGUAACAAGGUAGCCGUAGGGGAACCUGCGGCUGGAUCACCUCCUU